GUCCACGCCCUAAACGAUGAACACUCGCUGUUGGCGAUACACAGUCAGCGGCUAAGCGAAAGCGUUAAGUGUUCCACCUGGGGAGUACGCCCGCAAGGGUGAAACUCAAAGGAAUUGGACGGGGGCCCGCACAAGCGGAGGAGCAUGUGGUUUAAUUCGAUGAUACGCGAGGAACCUUACCCGGGCUUGAAAGUUAGUGAAGCUUCCAGAGAUGGGAGCGUCCGCAAGGACACGAAACUAGGUGCUGCAUGGCUGUCGU
rnacentral:rRNA from 1 species